rnacentral:lncRNA from 1 species
CAGGGUCAUCUGACACAUUUUAUGGUUGGAGGUCAGGCUUCAUUGAAGAUUGCACAUUCUAAAUAGAUAUUUUGACUUCAUAUCCCCACUGCCCACCAUGACAAAUAAUCUCAAACAUCUGCAUCCAACAAGUUUAUUUUUCCUGGUUACCUCUCUCAUAUGUGGUAACCAGGUAAUAUGAGGAUACCAGCUCUAUAUCCUACCAGGAUGCUCAAGGGUCAUGAUGACUUCAUGCACUUCCACCUUCCAAAGUCCUACAGGAGUGGCUGACAGGAUUCUAGGAUGAACACCUGUCACAUGCUGCUUUCUGCAGCUGCCAGUGAUUUCAGCUUCCCAAGGUAAGGACUGAAAAUGACACUGUAGCUCAUCUCCUAGAAGAAGGCAGUUAAUCAGCAACACAGCAUCUUGUGAGGGAUCACAUUUCUGUUUUACUGAGAGAUACAGAAUAUCCCAGAAAAGAAAACAGGACCAAAUUAAGUGCAUUUAAAACCAUCUUGAGAAGGCUUGCCAUUCAGAAAAGCAAAAUAAGUAAAACCCUAAGCAGUGAUGUUUGAAG